ensembl:lncRNA
GUUCCACAUCCCAUCUGAAGAUGCGCUUUUGAGUGUAUAAUCCCUGACUUUUAGCAAGUUACAUGGCGGUCCAAAAUAAAGGCUACAUUUCCCAGACUCCUUUGCUGCUGGUUGUGGUCAAGUGACUAAGUCCUGGUCAGUGGGAUGUGAAGAUAAAUGCCACACAGCAGCUUCUGGGACCCUUCCCUAAGAAGCAGCUAGUGUGAUCGUUUGCCCCCUUCAACUCCUCUUCUCCUGUCUAGUUGAUGGAACACAGAUGUUAUGACUGGCUCCAUGUUGGGCCACAAGGACACAGGCGCCACACAUCCUGAGGAUGGCACAGCAGAAGGCUGGAAGCAGCCUGGGUCCUGAAUGACUUGGAGUCAUUGUCCCAGUUCUGCAGCUUACAUCUGGACUUUUCUGUUUGAGAUAAACGUCCAUACUGGGCUGCAUGCUGCACGAGCCCAGGGGCACCGCUCACACGGCAGAGGACCUGAGGGAAGACCUUGGAGUUGUGAGGCGAACAGACUGCAUGGUCAUCCUCAGAGGCCCUGCUUCUGUCUGGUUUAAGCCCCUGGUUUUGGAGUUUCCGUUACUUUCAGGCAAUCUUAAUUUUAACUAAUAUAAUAGAUUUCUGAUAGUUUCUUCAAUAUCCAGGAGGUUUUUGUGCCUGGAGGGGAAUACUCAAUAGUAUUGGUACUUGGCUUAUUGUAUAAUUUAUGAAAGUAAUAUAACUCAGAAAAAUCAAUUUUCCUUGCACAUUUAAACAUUAUUAUUAAUUUGGUUAAUUACUGUCACUUAAAACUUCAAUGGCAGUUACAAAUCUAGUAUGACUGAUUCUUCGAACCCUGCAGACAUCUUAAAUAACAGGCCAAACAUACACAAAUCAAAUAUUUCAGACUGAUCGAGAUUGCAGGAUCCAAGUAAUGUAAUGACUGCUUCCUCACUGAGAUGCACAAACCAAGCAGAUUUAAACUGAAAUCUUUGAUCAUUAGGCUGAGCCUCUUUUUAAAUAAAAAUAGCUAUCCAUUUGUGGCAUCAGAGACUGUUAAGUUUCUCUUCGUCAUAGAGAUCUUAAUUUUUGCAACUUGGUGUCUUUCCAAGAAUUUCUGCAUUUUCUAAGUUUGCAUGGCAAGUCAGAGUCAUUUGGAUUUCACAUGGAUUUUAGGAUGGUUUUUCCUAUUUCUGCAAAAAGUGAGGUUGAGUUGUUGAUAGGGAUCGCACUGAAACUGUGGGCACUUCGAGUAAUGUGGACAUUUCAACAAUGUUAAGUUUUCCCAUCCAUGAUCGUGAGAGGUCUCUCCAUAUUCGUGCCUUUAAUUUCUCUCGGCAAUGUUUUGUAGUUUUCCACGAAUAGGUCUUUCGCCUCUUUGGUUAAGUUUACUACUAAAUAUUUUAUUCUUUUUUAUUUUAUUAUAAAUGGGGCUGUUUUCUUAAUUUCCUCAUUGGAAUGUUCAUUGUUAGUGUCUAGAAACGCAACUGAUUUUUGUAUGUUGAUUUGGCUUGAUAAUUUUUAUUGCUAUUUCAAGUGUGUUUCCCCUUUUCCAUUUUCCGAUGAUUAUUGUCAAUAUAGAAAGAAAAGUUUUCAUGUCUUCAUUUUGUGUUCGGCCC